AACAAACGCUGGCGGCGUGCCUAAUACAUGCAAGUCGAACGGGGAAAGCUUUCGGGUGAGUACUAGUGGCGCACGGGUGAGUAACGCGUGGAUAAUCUGCCUUAGAGUGGGGGAUAACUAGUCGAAAGAUUAGCUAAUACCGCAUAAGACCACAAGAACUGCGGUUCAAGGGGUCAAAGGUUUUUCGCUCUAAGAUGAGUCCGCGUAAGAUUAGCUAGUUGGUAGGGUAGCGGCCUACCAGGGCGACGAUCUUUAACUGGUCUGAGAGGAUGAUCAGUCACACUGGAACUGAGACACGGUCCAGACUCCUACGGGAGGCAGCAGUAGGGAAUAUUGCACAAUGGAGGAAACUCUGAUGCAGCGACGCCGCGUGAGUGAUGAAGGCCUUCGGGUCGUAAAGCUCUGUCGCAGGGGAAUAACACAAUGAAGGUACCCUGUAAGAAAGGAUCGGCUAACUUCGUGCCAGCCGCCGCAGUAACAC
rnacentral:rRNA from 1 species